rnacentral:tRNA from 1 species
GCGAGGGUGGUGAAAUUGGUAGACGCACUGGACUUAGGAUCCAGCGGGCUUGCCCAUGGGGGUUCGACUCCCCCCUCUCGCACCA